rnacentral:pre_miRNA from 15 species
GUAUCUCUUUCUGUGUUUCCUCGUUCAAGUUUGAUGAUUUGAGUGAUGAUUCACUCAUCAUCAUCAUCACUCAAAUCAUCAAACUUGAACGAGGAAACACAGAAGGAAUUCAA